rnacentral:sRNA from 1 species
UUUUGUGGUGCAUAUAAUUGACACUCACAUAAUAAUCUGUUAGUUUGUAUAUGACGUGGUGUA